rnacentral:rRNA from 1 species
GUGUCAGCAGCCGCGGUAAGACAGAGGGUGCGAGCGUUGUUCGGAAUCAUUGGGCGUAAAGGGCGCGUAGGCGGCUUGGCAAGUUGGAUGUGAAAGCCCUGGGCUUAACCCGGGAAGUGCAUCCAAAACUGCUUUGCUUGAGUCCUGGAGAGGGUGGUGGAAUUCCCAGUGUAGAGGUGAAAUUCGUAGAUAUUGGGAGGAACACCCGUGGCGAAGGCGGCCACCUGGACAGAGACUGACGCUGAGGCGCGAAAGCGUGGGGAGCAAACAGGAUUAGAAACCCCUGUAGUCC